AUGAAAGAAAAACAAGCACUUAAGAGGGAGAGGGAAAAUGCCCGGUAUGAGCAACAUGAAGAAGGGAUAUUACAGAGCCUACGUGAGAAACGGUGCCGAGCCAAAUCUACAGUUGUCCCAACAACCGGAGAACAAACUCAAUCCAGUACAGCCGAUGAAGAUUGUGAUUGGCUACACAAAAAUGAUACAUACCAGAUGCAAAACAUUGGAGGGAGGAUGACGCCAGUCAACAUACUCAGUCAUAAAUACGUAUAUAAAUUGCAUGACUGCGAUGGAGCAUCUAUAGAUGACAUGGAUGCUGCACCAGUAUGGGUAUUAAAUAGAGCCAAAGAAUAUUUUGAAAAUGAUAUGAUAUUCAUUCCAAUAAACAUGGACGACGUUCACUGCUACCUAUGUGUUAUAAAUGCUAGAAAACUAUGUGUUCAAGUGCUCGACUCGCUAGGCCCAUCAAUGAAUCGCAAGGACCUCACUGAUACGCUAGAAGGACCGGAGGAUUUAUUCAAAUAUGCAUCCGAGCACAUGGAAUUAAAAUCCAAUAAGUGGACUGAUCUAAGUGUUACAACAUGGAAAAGAGAAGAAUAUAUUAAGAGCAGUCUUCAGACGGAUGGGUACGCCUCCUAA
rnacentral:rRNA from 1 species